UGUUUUCAUUAAUCAAGGACGAAAGUUAGAGGUUCGAAGGCGAUCAGAUACCGCCCUAGUUCUAACCGUAAACGAUGCCAACUGGCCAUUCGCCGGUGUUAAUAAUCGACUCGGCGGGCAGCUUCCGGGAAACCAAAGUGUUCUGGUUCCGGGGGAAGUAUGGUUGCAAAGCUUAAACUUAAAGGAAUUGACGGAAGGGCACCACCAGGAGUGGAGCCUGCGGCUUAAUUUGACUCAACACGGGAAAACUCACCCGGCCAAGACACAAUAAGGAUUGACAGAUUGAUAGCUCUUUCUCGAUUUUGUGGGUGGUGGUGCAUGGCCGUUCUUAGUUGGUGGAGCGAUUUGUCUGGUUAAUUCCGAUAACGAACGAGACUCUAGCCUAUUAAAUAGACGCAAUAUUUUUUCUAUUGUAUUACGUUCUUCUUAGAGGGACAAGCAGCUUCUAGCUGCACGAGAUUGAGCAAUAACAGGUCUGUGAUGCCCUUAGAUGUCCGGGGCUGCACGCGCGCUACACUGAAGAUAACAGUGUGCGUCUGAAACCAUGUCUGAAAAGACUUGGUAAACACGAAUUAUUUCCGUGCUUGGGAUAGGGGAUUGAAAUUAUUUCCCUUGAACGAGGAAUUUCUAGUAAGUGCGAGUCAUAAGCUCGCGCUGAUUACGUCCCUGCCCUUUGUACACACCGCCCGUCGCUACUACAGAUUGGAAGAUUCAAUGAGAAAUUUGGACCGAAUUCGAAGUGAUGUAACAGUCGCUACGAUAUUUGGGAAGAUUUUCAAAUUGUAGCUUCUAGAUGAAGUAAAAGUCGUAACAAGGUUUCCGU
rnacentral:rRNA from 1 species